AACUUUCAACAACGGAUCUCUUGGUUCUGGCAUCGAUGAAGAACGCAGCGAAAUGCGAUAAGUAAUGUGAAUUGCAGAAUUCAGUGAAUCAUCGAAUCUUUGAACGCACAUUGCGCCCUCUGGUAUUCCAGAGGGCAUGCCUGUUCGAGCGU
rnacentral:rRNA from 1 species